GGAGUUAGCCGGUGCUUCUUCUGUGAGUGAUGUCCUUCCUGCCGGCUAUUAACCCGCAGGCCUUCUUCCUCACUGAAAGUGCUUUACAACCCGAAGGCCUUCUUCACACACGCGGCAUGGCUGGAUCAGGGUUGCCCCCAUUGUCCAAUAUUCCCCACUGCUGCCUCCCGUAGGAGUCUGGGCCGUGUCUCAGUCCCAGUGUGGCUGAUCAUCCUCUCAGACCAGCUACGGAUCGUCGCCUUGGUGAGCCGUUACCUCACCAACCAGCUAAUCCGACAUAGGCUCAUCCGAUAGCGCGAGGCCCGAAGGUCCCCCGCUUUCCCCCGUAGGGCGUAUGCGGUAUUAGCCUGGGUUUCCCCAGGGUUAUCCCCCACUACCGGGCAGAUUCCUAUGCAUUACUCACCCGUCCGCCGCUCGCCACCAGGGAGCAAGCUCCCCGUGCUGCCGCUCGACUUGCAUGUGUUAGGCCUGCCGCCAGCGUUCAAUCUGAGCCAUGAUCAAACUCUGA
rnacentral:rRNA from 1 species